AGGAAUAUUGGUCAAUGGGCGAGAGCCUGAACCAGCCAAGUAGCGUGAAGGAUGACUGCCCUAUGGGUUGUAAACUUCUUUUAUAAAGGAAUAAAGUCGGGUAUGGAUACCCGUUUGCAUGUACUUUAUGAAUAAGGAUCGGCUAACUCCGUGCCAGCAGCCGCGGUAAUACGGAGGAUCCGAGCGUUAUCCGGAUUUAUUGGGUUUAAAGGGAGCGUAGAUGGAUGUUUAAGUCAGUUGUGAAAGUUUGCGGCUCAACCGUAAAAUUGCAGUUGAUACUGGAUAUCUUGAGUGCAGUUGAGGCAGGCGGAAUUCGUGGUGUAGCGGUGAAAUGCUUAGAUAUCACGAAGAACUCCGAUUGCGAAGGCAGCCUGCUAAACCGCCACUGACGUUGAGGCUCGAAAGUGUGGGUAUCAAACAGGAUUAGAUACCCUGGUAGUCCACACGGUAAACGAUGGAUACUCGCUGUUGGCGAUAGACUGUCAGCGGCUUAGCGAAAGCGUUAAGUAUCCCACCUGGGGAGUACGCCGGCAACGGUGAAACUCAAAGGAAUUGACGGGGGCCCGCACAAGCGGAGGAACAUGUGGUUUAAUUCGAUGAUACGCGAGGAACCUUACCCGGGCUUGAAUUGCAGACGAAUUGCUUGGAAACAGGCAAGCCGCAAGGCGUCUGUGAAGGUGCUGCAUGGUUGUCGUCAGCUCGUGCCGUGAGGUGUCGGCUUAAGUGCCAUAACGAGCGCAACCCUUAUCGAUAGUUACCAUCAGGUUAUGCUGGGACUCUGUCGAGACUGCCGUCGUAAGAUGUGAGGAAGGUGGGGAUGACGUCAAAUCAGCACGGCCCUUACGUCCGGGGCUACACACGUGUUACAAUGGGGGGUACAGAGGGCCGCUACCACGCGAGUGGAUGCCAAUCCCCAAAACCUCUCUCAGUUCGGACUGGAGUCUGCAACCCGACUCCACGAAGCUGGAUUCGCUAGUAAUCGCGCAUCAGCCACGGCGCGGUGAAUACGUUCCCG
rnacentral:rRNA from 1 species